CCUACGGGUCGCACCAGUGGGGAAUAUUGCACAAUGGGCGCAAGCCUAAUGCAGCCAUGCCGCGUGUGUGAAGAAGGCCUUCGGGUUGUAAAGCACUUUCAGCGGGGAGGAAGGCGUUAAGGUUAAUAACCUUAGCGAUUGACGUUACCCGCAGAAGAAGCACCGGCUAACUCCGUGCCAGCAGCCGCGGUAAUACGGAGGGUGCAAGCGUUAAUCGGAAUUACUGGGCGUAAAGCGCACACAGGCGGUCUGUCAAGUCGGAUGUGAAAUCCCCGGGCUCAACCUGGGAACUGCAUUCGAAACUGGCAGGCUAGAGUCUUGUAGAGGGGGGUAGAAUUCCGGGUGUAGCGUGAAAUGCGUAGAGAUCUGGAGGAAUACCGGUGGCGAAGGCGGCCCCCUGGACAAAGACUGACGCUCAGGUGCGAAAGCGUGGGGAGCAAACAGGAUUAGAUACCCUCGUAGUC
rnacentral:rRNA from 1 species